GUUCCUCUAACACACUGCCUCCCAUGUGCUGGCCUUGGACCCUGGGAGGGCUGAAGGGUUACUGCAGUAGGUGUAGGAAGCCACAAGCACAUCCAGCACCACAAUUUUUCAAAUGUUUCCAGAUGCUUCUGGGAUGAAUAAAAUAAAAAUCCAAGAGCUAUUGAUUCACGGUCGUUGUAUCAACAGCAUUGUGGGAGGCUUCUCUUCAACUUUCAAAGACUUCUUUUCUGUAAGAACUAAGCUCCUUCCCCCAAUAGAAACUGGCCCCUGGUUUCCGGCCCGUGUUUGUGCCACAUGAGCCCCUUCUCCCCAGUCUCAGUGAAUUGGAUCCAGGGCAGACACCUUGCCUAAGCUCAGCCAACUUCAAGUUUCUCCCUUUUAGAAACUUGAAAUUGGAAUUCAAAGAUAGCUUUUUGGUGCAGGUGAGUGGCCCUGUGAUAAUAUGUAACCAGGAACUGCGGGAUGGUACCACCUCCUCUUCACCCCAAUUUCAGCAUGGGAAGCAGGGAUGCAGGGGGGAAAGAGUGUUGCGAGUACAUGAAAUAGAAACUGAGGCAAUGCACAGUCAGACCCUGACUGCUCUCCGGCUCUGGCUUUUACCUCCCAGCAUUGCCUCUGAGUAUCCUAGAAGUCUUUCCAAUACGUUAAAAAUUGAUCAUGGUAGCUCAUGCUGGUUUCCAUAAUUUCAAAAAAAGAAAACUUUGACAAAAGUCACUUCUUGAUAUUAUAUAUUUUCUGAAUAAUGGAUAUUAAAAUAAAAUGGUUAUUAUGGGAGAUCUUGAUUUUUAUACAUGAUAAGGGUGUCAAUGCUUAAUAAGAAUGAUUUAGAAGGUUGAGAGUCCCUGCUUUAGCUAAAAAUCCUCCAGAGAAAGAAAUGCAUCAGUUACAGAAGAUAAUUCAUGCAAAGCACUCAGCUCAGCAUCCUUCACAGAUUAAGUACUCAAUAAGGAUUAGCAACUAUUUUCUUCACCACUUACAGACUCAUGACCAAUACUCACAAUGACCAAGUCUGAAAAGACCUUCCUAAAAUCUUGUUUAGACUGAACUGCCAUGAUUAGAGCAUACCCUCCUCACCCCGAAGAUCUUUGCAGCCACAGUGUACCUGCCCUGCUUUUAGGAGUAGAAGGAGCACGCACUGGAAUUGGUUGUGGAUGGGACUGGUCUCAUAAGCAUCACCUAGAGAAUGUUUCGAAUUAAAAAUUUCCCAGGCCCUCUCCGAGACCCAUCGAAUAGAAGCUCCACGGGAGGAACCUAAGAAGCUAUGGCUUUAACAAAUGCUCCAAGUGAUUCUCAUCAUCAGGGAAGGGUGGGAAACACUGACAUAUGAGGAUUAUAAAACCCAUCUCUAAGUGGACAAGCCACAGGUCUGGGGAGAUGUCUUACAUGCAAAACAAAUCAUACCAUGCUUUUCAACCUUAGGUGCAUUUCUGUUUGCACAACUACCAAGUAUUCAAUUGUCCAUCUUACCCAUCCCCUUUGCAACAGUACCAAGAUUUCAAUUCCUUUUCGUCUUCUUUCCCACUAAGCCCAAGUGCUGCUGGAAAGCUGACCCCCUAUUACCAGGUCCGGGGUGAACCCUGAUUAAAUCAAACCGGUCAAGUAUAUUACAUUUCCUGGGUCAAAUGUGGAUACAUACCCCAAGCAAGUCUGAUUGGGGAAAUUUUAGAACCUGUUGCUUAGAAGGUGUCUUAGUUCAUUUGUGUUGUGAUAACAGAAUAUUUGAGGCUAGGUAAUUUAUACAGAAAAAAAAAAAAAA
ensembl:lncRNA